rnacentral:rRNA from 1 species
UGGGGAAUAUUGCACAAUGGGCGCAAGCCUGAUGCAGCCAUGCCGCGUGUAUGAAGAAGGCCUUCGGGUUGUAAAGUACUUUCAGCGGGGAGGAAGGCGAUAAGGUUAAUAACCGCAGCGAUUGACGUUACUCGCAGAAGAAGCACCGGCUAACUCCGUGCCAGCAGCCGCGGUAAUACGGAGGGUGCAAGCGUUAAUCGGAAUUACUGGGCGUAAAGCGCACGCAGGCGGUCUGUCAAGUCGGAUGUGAAAUCCCCGGGCUCAACCUGGGAACUGCAUCCGAAACUGGCAGGCUAGAGUCUUGUAGAGGGGGGUAGAAUUCCAGGUGUAGCGGUGAAAUGCGUAGAGAUCUGGAGGAAUACCGGUGGCGAAGGCGGCCCCCUGGACAAAGACUGACGCUCAGGUGCGAAAGCGUGGGGAGCAAACA